GCUUGUGUCAGGUUGACAGAAAACAAACAACCCCCCAAACUAACCAGGACAACUGCUUACCAACCAUGAUAUUUCAUCCUAUAGUGCGUACUUUUAAUACUGGGAUGUGCGCUAUUUCUUACACAUUCUGACGCCAACUCUACACCAUCUCUCUCCCUUACCCCAUGUCUGGGUGCAUGGUUCUCUUGAGGUACAGGAGUUUGGAAUGUUGUCAUCAAAUCUCUGCCACUUUCCUGUGUCAUUUGUCUCUCUCCGAGGGCAUAGGUCCGAUCCAUCCAGCCAUCAGGCAAGUGGUCUGAGGCCAAGGCAUCAGCAGCUGUUUGCUCCCUGUAGAACAGCAGGGGAGU